UCAUUCAAAACCCUAGCUCCAGAAAAACGUCUCUUUUUCUCCUGCCUCUGUUUGCCUCGAUUAAUUUGUAUUCAAAGAACCCUCUUUUACCUUAAAAAAAAUCCCUCGUUUAUAUUCUCAAUAGAAAAUUUAAAUGGGAUUACCAAACAGAUUGUUUUCCUUAAAAAAAAGAACCGGAAAACUGAGAAAGUGUUUCUUAUUAUCAUACUUUUUUUUUUAAUUUAGAUGCAUUUACCUUGCUGCCUUUCUUCGAUUUUGUUGUAGGGAUAGAUAGGGACCAAUUUUAAUCAGUCCAACCCAGAUUCAAAAUCCAGUCCUAAAAGGUUGAUUGAAUUAUUUUCUUGGCUUUGAAUUUAGUGGAGAGAGACUGCAGAUAAAGGUUUCACGUACUGAUCAUCACUGUACUACUAUUUUACAAUAACAGGUCACUGAUUUUGAUGCAUCAUAAGUAAGCAACUUACCUUUUACACGCUCACAAAACCCACAGUAUGUUCCUCGUUAACCAGGUCUUCUUUUCAGAUAGAUUUCAUGUAGUAGAAAGAGGUACGAUUUUGUAUAAAAUACUAAUAUGGCUUUUGGAGAAUCUCCUGUUUGUUUCCCUUAGCUAUAAUUUUAUCUUAGCUUUGUUUAUUGAUUUGCACACAUUCUUCAAUACUUGAUAUAGGUGCCUCGGUUUUCGAAUUCUUAGUUAUUUAUUAUUGUUACUCUGAUAUUAGUGUUUCCAGUCAUAUUUAUGCAUUUGAUUGAUCUUGUAUCCAUUGUGUUUGAGAUAAUGCUGUAUCCAUUAUGAUAGAACAUUGGGUGCCUAGGUUCCGUGGAUCCAACAAAGCUCUCUGAGAAUGAUGGUCAAGGGAUUAAGUUUCAUGAUAUCCUGAACGUGGUUCUUGAAUUGGAGGCUCUACUAAAAAUGCUCUGCCUGGUAAUGCAGUAUUGAUGCUAGAGAAAUUGAUCAUUUUGUGCCACCGUAUAGUAGUCUUUUUUAUAGAAAACUACUCAUUUAGCUCUUUUUUCCCCCUCACAUAUAGAAAAAGUUAUUUGAUUGCAUUGGUACUCAUCUACUUCUACAUGAAGCCUUCAGCUAAUCAGUGACUAUUACGAGGGGCUUUGAACCUUUUUUUCUGCUACUUAAUGGAUAGUUCCAGUCAAUGCUCUUGAAGUAGCUGGAAGUACAACAGGUCUUGAAGAUUCAUCUCGGAUCGAAUAUAAAGAUGACAAUAUUUAUGUUCAAAACCAACAGGCUGAUACAUCUAAUCCCUGGAUUCAGAACCGGAGGGAGCUACCAGGCUUGCAAUCUGCUCCAUGCUACAAUAUGCUACGAACACCUCAUGGUUAUAUGCCAUCUCACACUGCCCAUACUUCCGUUAAUGCUGCUGCCUCACAAUCUUCUUACAUGCAAUUCUAAGGCUUGUGCCAUAGUGCUCCACAGCCUGCUGCAAUGGCAAACCCACAUCAUCUAGGCCCUGCAAUGGGGUGCUAAAGUUGGUCCAGGGGCUCAACUAGGUGCUUACCAACACCCUCAAUUGGCUGAUUUUUACUGGACUACAAACUUCUGAAUGCUGUCUAGCUAUAGAAAGUUUAAAGUUUACUUUGUGAAAUAACCCGCAAUCUUUUUAAUUCAAUGCAUAUGUAGUGUUUAAUUUCCUCCCAUUUA